rnacentral:rRNA from 1 species
UACAGAGGUCCCAAGCGUUGUUCGGAUUCACUGGGCGUAAAGGGUGCGUAGGCGGUCGGGUAAGUCUGAUGUGAAAUCUCACAGCUUAACUGUGAAACUGCAUUGGAUUCUAUCCGGCUCGAGGAAUGGAGGGGAGACUGGAAUACUUGGUGUAGCAGUGAAAUGCGUAGAUAUCAAGUGGAACACCAGUGGCGAAGGCGAGUCUCUGGACAUUUCCUGACGCUGAGGCACGAAAGCCAGGGGAGCAAACGGG